CGUCUAGAAGAAGCAUACACCAUACGACAAGGGUAGGCAGUUUGGAAAUAUAAGGAAACAGAGUAGAUUACUCGAUUAUUGUAUGCCAAGCAUAGAGAUUGGGAAAACUUCUUUGGUUGGGAAGAAACAAAACAACAAGAGCAAAACAAUAUCGGGCUGUGGAGUUGGGAGGAGGAGUUAGGCUUCAAGGCCGCGCAGACAUAGGACAUCCAUAAUAUAAAUCUGUGCUCUGUUGAUAAAUAGUUUUGUAGCAGGGUUCAAAUAAGCCCAAUUUUGCAAAAUUCAAGGGAAAUCAACUAAAAUACUACCUUGAGAUUUGAGCAAUACAG